rnacentral:rRNA from 1 species
AUUGAACGCUGGCGGCAGGCUUAACACAUGCAAGUCGAGCGGGGGAAGGUAGCUUGCUACCGGACCUAGCGGCGGACGGGUGAGUAAUGCUUAGGAAUCUGCCUAUUAGUGGGGGACAACAUCUCGAACGGGAUGCUAAUACCGCAUACGUCCUACGGGAGCAAGCAGGGGAUCUUCGGACCUUGCGCUAAUAGAUGAGCCUAAGUCGGAUUAGCUAGUUGGUGGGGUAAAGGCCUACCAAGGCGACGAUCUGUAGCGGGUCUGAGAGGAUGAUCCGCCACACUGGGACUGAGACACGGCCCAGACUCCUACGGGAGGCAGCAGUGGGGAAUAUUGGACAAUGGGGGGAACCCUGAUCCAGCCAUGCCGCGUGUGUGAAGAAGGCCUUAUGGUUGUAAAGCACUUUAAGCGAGGAGGAGGCUACUUUAGUUAAUACCUAGAGAUAGUGGACGUUACUCGCAGAAUAAGCACCGGCUAACUCUGUGCCAGCCGCCGCCGUAA